rnacentral:rRNA from 1 species
GACGAACCGUGCAGACGUUGUUCGGAAUCACUGGGCUUAAAGGGCGCGUAGGCGGGCAAGCAAGUCGAAGGUGAAAUCCCACGGCUCAACCGUGGAAGUGCCCCCGAUACUGCUUGUCUUGAGGGAGAUAGGGGCGUGCGGAACUUCCGGUGGAGCGGUGAAAUGCGUAGAUAUCGGAAGGAACACCGGUGGCGAAAGCGGCGCGCUGGAUCUCUUCUGACGCUGAGGCGCGAAAGCCAGGGGAGCAAACGGG